UAAGAUAUAUGAGAAUUGUAUCCGCCGUAAAUCUAAGGUUUCCUACGCGACGGUCGUCAUCGUAGGGUUAGUCGGGUCCUAAGCCGAGUCCGAAAGGGGUAGGUGAUGGCAAAUUGGUUAAUAUUCCAAUACCGACUUAUGGAGCGUGAUGGGGGGACGCAUAGGGUUAAGCGAGCUAGCUGAUGGAAGCGCUAGUCUAAGGGCGUAGAUUGGAGGGAAGGCAAAUCCACCUCUGUAUUUGAAACCCAAACAGGCUCUUUGAGUCCUUUUAGGACAAAGGGAGAAUCGCUGAUACCGUCGUGCCAAGAAAAGCCUCUAAGCAUAUCCAUAGUCGUCCGUACCGCAAACCGACACAGGUAGAUGAGAUGAGUAUUCUAAGGCGCGUGAAAGAACUCUGGUUAAGGAACUCUGCAAACUAGCACCGUAAGUUCGCGAUAAGGUGUGCCACAGCGAUGUGGUCUCAGCAAAGAGUCCCUCCCGACUGUUUACCAAAAACACAGCACUUUGCCAACUCGUAAGAGGAAGUAUAAGGUGUGACGCCUGCCCGGUGCUCGAAGGUUAAGAGGAUGCGUCAGUCGCAAGAUGAAGCGUUGAAUUGAAGCCCGAGUAAACGGCGGCCGUAACUAUAACGGUCCUAAGGUAGCGAAAUUCCUUGUCGGUUAAAUACCGACCUGCAUGAAUGGCGUAACGAGAUGGGAGCUGUCUCAACCAGAGAUUCAGUGAAAUUGUAGUGGAGGUGAAAAUUCCUCCUACCCGCGGCAAGACGGAAAGACCCCGUGGACCUUUACUACAACUUAGCACUGCUAAUGGGAAUAUCAUGCGCAGGAUAGGUGGGAGGCUUUGAAGUAAGGGCUUUGGCUCUUAUGGAGCCAUCCUUGAGAUACCACCCUUGAUGUUUCUGUUAGCUAACUGGCCUGUGUCAUCCACAGGCAGGACAAUGCUUGGUGGGUAGUUUGACUGGGGCGGUCGCCUCCUAAAAAGUAACGGAGGCUUGCAAAGGUUGGCUCAUUGCGGUUGGAAAUCGCAAGUUGAGUGUAAUGGCACAAGCCAGCCUGACUGUAAGACAUACAAGUCAAGCAGAGACGAAAGUCGGUCAUAGUGAUCCGGUGGUUCUGUGUGGAAGGGCCAUCGCUCAAAGGAUAAAAGGUACCCCGGGGAUAACAGGCUGAUCUCCCCCAAGAGCUCACAUCGACGGGGAGGUUUGGCACCUCGAUGUCGGCUCAUCGCAUCCUGGGGCUGGAGCAGGUCCCAAGGGUAUGGCUGUUCGCCAUUUAAAGCGGUACGCGAGCUGGGUUCAGAACGUCGUGAGACAGUUCGGUCCCUAUCUGCCGUGGGCGUAGGAAAGUAGAGGAGAGCUGUCCCUAGUACGAGAGGACCGGGAUGGACGUGUCACUGGUGCACCAGUUGUUCUGCCAAGAGCAUCGCUGGGUAGCUACACACGGAUGUGAUAACUGCUGAAAGCAUCUAAGCAGGAAGCCAACUCCAAGAUGAACUUUCCCUGAAGCUCGCACAAAGACUAUGUGCUUGAUAGGGUAGAUGUGUAAGCGCAGUAAUGCGUUUAGCUGACUACUACUAAUAGAGCGUUUGGCUUGUUU
rnacentral:rRNA from 1 species